rnacentral:rRNA from 1 species
UCUCUAGCUGUUCUGAGAGGAAGAUCAUCCACACUGGGACUGAGACACGGCCCAGACUCCUACGGGAGGCAGCAGUGGGGAAUAUUGCACAAUGGGGGAAACCCUGAUGCAGCCAUGCCGCGUGUGUGAAGAAGGCCUUCGGGUUGUAAAGCACUUUCAGUUGUGAGGAAAAGUUAGUAUUUAAUACCUGCUAGCCGUGACGUUAACAACAGAAGAAGCACCGGCUAACUCCGUGCCAGCAGCCGCGGUAAUACGGAGGGUGCGAGCGUUAAUCGGAAUUACUGGGCGUAAAGCGCACGCACGCGGUUUGUUAAUCUAGAUGUGAAAGCCCCGGGCUCAACCUGGGAUGGUCAUUUACAACUGGCAGACUAGAGUCUUGGAGAGGGGAGUGGAAUUCCAGGUGUAGCGGUGAAAUGCAUAGAUAUCUGGAGGAACAUCAGUGGCGAAGGCGACUCCCUGGCCAAAGACUGACACUCAUGUGCGAAAGUGUGGGUAGCGAACAGGAUUAGAUACCCUGGUAGUCCACACCGUAAACGCUGUCUACUACCUGUGUGUGUCUU